rnacentral:ncRNA from 1 species
UACCUGGUUGAUCCUGCCAGUAGUCAUAUGCUUGUCUCAAAGAUUAAGCCAUGCAUGUGCAAGUAUGAACCAAUUUGAACUGUGAAACUGUGAAUGGCUCAUUAAAUCAGUUAUAGCUUGUUUGAUGGUACGUGCUACUCGGAUAACCAUAGUAAUUAUAGAGCUAAUACGUGCAACAAACCCCGACUUCUGGGAGGGGCGCAUUUAUUAGAUAAAAGGCUGACGCGGGCUCUGCUCGCUGAUCCGAUGAUUCAUGAUAACUCGACGGAUUGCACGGCCUUCGUGCCGGCGAUGCCUCAUUCAAAUUUCUGCCCUAUCAACUUUCGAUGGUAGGAUAGGGGCCUACCAUGGUGGUGACGGGUGACGGAGAAUUAGGGUUCGAUUCCGGAGAGGGAGCCUGAGAAACGGCUACCACAUCCAAGGAAGGCAGCGGGCGCGCAAAUUACCCAAUCCUGACACGGGGAGGUAGUGACCAUAAAUAACAAUACCGGGCACAUUAGUGUCUGGUAAUUGGAAUAAGUACAAUCUAAAUCCUUAACAAGGAUCCAUUGGAGGGCAAGUCUGUGCCAGCAGCCGCGGUAAUUCCAGCUCCAAUAGCGUAUAUUUAAGUUGUUGCAGUUAAAAAGCUCGUAGUUGGACCUUGGGCCGGGUCGGCCGGUCCGCCUCACGGCGAGCACCGACCUACUCGACCCUUCGGCCGGCAUCGCGCUCCUAGCCUUAAGUGGCCGGGUCGUGUUUCCGGCAUCGUUACUUUGAAGAAAU